CUCUCUCCAAUCCUUUCCCUAUAAUAAUGCAUCUUUUUUCCAUUUUACUUUUCAUCCAUGUCCCAAAUUGAUAAUGUAUUACAUUAAUUUUCCAGCAAUGGUCUUUUUGUGAAGCUUGACAACAUGGUAAAGUUGAUAGAAAAGUGCAGCUUCCAGGUUCCUAUGAAGUUUGUAAAUUUCUUGAUUUUUUAUGCAAAUUUUCUAUCACAAAGUGAUGCUAAGGGGAGAGAUGAUGGGAUGAUGGAAAUGGGACACUGAUCCCUCAAACUUAUUAGAGAUAUUAUAAACAAUUGUAUUGUAAAGAAUCAGAUCACUAAAGGAAAAACAUGCUUUUUAAAGUUGUGCCAGUCCAACUUAGCAUUUUUGUUUGAGGAAGAAUUUGUGCCAACAUCUUUUGAAGGAGUUGGAGCAGAAUUUCCCUGACGAGGUUGAAACAUUUUUUGAGAAUCAAUAUGCUUCUGCUGCUGAGUUGAUACAAAAUGUAUUACCAAAUGGAGGCUUUGCGGAGGGUUAGAGUAUAGCAUGGAAUGAUAUGAUAUAUUGAUGAUGCAUUUUAUUUUGUAUAAUUGAUAUCAUGAAACUGUCAAUAUUUCUCUUUUUUGGGCUUUAUUAUUUCAUUGGUCUGUAUAGUGAAGCUCAUAACUGCUUCCUUAUUCUUGUAUCUGUCAUUGUUUUAAUUAAUUUUUCGAGAUGGAA